GACAGCAGUAGCCGCGGUAACACCGAGGGUGCGAGCGUUAAUCGGAUUUACUGGGCGUAAAGCGUGCGUAGGCGGCUUUUUAAGUCGGAUGUGAAAUCCCUGAGCUUAACUUAGGAAUUGCAUUCGAUACUGGGAAGCUAGAGUAUGGGAGAGGAUGGUAGAAUUCCAGGUGUAGCGGUGAAAUGCGUAGAGAUCUGGAGGAAUACCGAUGGCGAAGGCAGCCAUCUGGCCUAAUACUGACGCUGAGGUACGAAAGCAUGGGGAGCAAACAGGAUUAGAUACCCGGGUAGUCCCUGUCUCUUAUAC
rnacentral:rRNA from 1 species